rnacentral:rRNA from 1 species
CAUGCAGUCGAGCGGCGGUAGACGGGAGUUACUCCUGAGGUGGCGAGCGGCGGACGGUGAGUAUGCCUAGAGAUCUGCCCAGUCGAGGGGAUACAGUUGGAACGACUGCUAAUACCGCAUACGCCCUACGGGGAAGGAGGGACUUCGGCCUUCGCGAUUGGAUGAACCUAGGUGGGAUUAGCUAGUUGGUGAGGUAAUGGCUCACCAAGGCGACGAUCCCUAGCUGUUCUGAGAGGAUGAUCAGCCACACUGGGACUGAGACACGGCCCAGACUCCUACGGGAGGCAGCAGUGGGGAAUAUUGCACAAUGGGGGAAACCCUGAUGCAGCCAUGCCGCGUGUGUGAAGAAGGCCUUCGGUUGUAAAGCACUUUCAGUAAGGAGGAAGGUAACGAUUAAUACUCGUUAGCUGUGACGUUACUUACAGAAGAAGGACCGGCUAACUCCGUGCCAGCAGCCGCGUAAUACGGAGGUCCGAGCGUUAAUCGGAAUUACUGGCGUAAAGCGUGCGCAGCGGUUUGUUAGCAGAUGUGAAUCCCGGCUCAACCUGG